UUCUCCAGCUUGAGGAAGCUCAUGAGUCUGGGGAUGAGGGCGGUGUCCAGCGGCUCUUCCAUCACUUUGCCCUCGUUGGUGAUCCUUCGCACUUUCCCGCCCAUCUCACCCUCCUGGUGGAACAUCACGAUCUGCUGGACGUGCCUCUCCGCCAAUUCGCAGUACACGUCGGGUUUCAGAAGCGACAUCAUCAACCGGUAGUAGCCUUCCGAGUCGUGCGGCGCCGUGAUCACCAGGACUCGGUUCUUCCCGGCGAAACUGGCCAGCAGGUUGGGCGAACGGGCGCCGGCGGGCAUCCUCGCCACCCGGGACCUGGCCAGGUGGGCACCCUGGUCUUGCGGCAUCCCAGCCCCGGCUCCUCUCCUCCCCGCCCUACGUGUGCCCUCGUCCGCCUGCACGUCACGGCCCUCUAUUGAGCUGUGCACGGAGAUGGCGGACGCGAACCCGGGACGCGCCCGCUCGAGUGGGCGCCCCCUGGCGGGCCUCGGUCGCCGGUGCAGCUGCGCCCGAAUGCGACGGGUGUGCGUGUCGGCCUCGCCUGUCCACGUCAGGAGGAACAUUAGCGCCAAGGUGAGCGCGGAAACCUGACACAUUAUGCACCAAUUACAGCAUUUGAAGGCAAAAAAUUAAAUAAAAAAAAUAAAUAAAUUAACUCCAGGCGAAGAUGCACAUCUGAUAGUGAGUGUGACUCACAGCAUGAGAAGAGUUUAAAAAAAAAGUGUUUUUAAAAAAGUUAAUCGUUCGUAAAAAAGUGGCGACUACACGCAAAAACGCAUCUCAAGUUAAUAAAAUCCCCAAGCGCUUAGUGAUAUUCUUCAUUGUUGAGACUAAUUCAAACCUGCGUUUUAAGAGCACGUCCACGUCGCAUCUCGCGGGGAAUCGAAACUCCACUUCUUUGUUUUAAUUCCAACUUUGUGUGAAUAUAUCCUCCAGCGGAUUCUGUGCUCCUCGCCGUGUUUCCAACCUUCCCGUCGGAGUCCUGCUUGACAACAAAAGUCCUCAUCCACCUCCGGAGCUCCACUUUCCUGACGGUUUUGAACUCAACACCACGCCUCUUCAUAGAAGCACGUUCUACAACCACAAUGACAAACAAAGCACACGCCGAGACCAGUCUGGUAGACAUGGUGGUCCUCCUGCUGCUUCCUGGACAAUAGACGUUCUGUUGACACUUUUAGGAGGACGGAAGCUUGGAGCAUCCUGUGAAGUUCUCCUGAUGCUGGCCGAUAAGAGCAGCUGCACCAUGAGGAAGACUCCCUUGUGGGAUUUUUUCACGUGUGCGUGUCCGAGUCAACAAAAAAGACAAGGAUUACCAUAAAACUGUCUAAUGAGAAGACCGUGGUUUGUGCAAAGGCGAAGACCCCAGUAGGUAAACAUUUUUUUCCCUUCACAAAACCUUGUUUUCAACAUACUGGCCCCCUGCCAGUGCAUUUCUUUCUGUUGACGGCAUCCAACUGAGGACAGACGUCAAAAACACGCUGGCCACUAUGACCUCUGAACCGGCCGUCCGCCCGCUGACACGUCCGUUCUGAGAGAGGGUACGCAGGCCAGCAAGCACCAGUAAGGGGUGGUGGAAUCGCACCCAUUGUCCAACACGCUAUACCAAUGUCCUAGUAACAAGAAGGUGUGCAACAGACGUGGACUCUCCUUUGACAGUAAUAUGGAGGUUAGUAAGUCAGGAACUGAAUGAGUCCGUGUACUGUAAAAUCCUCCCAGGUGGUGUGUGUGUUUGUGUGUGUGUGUGUGUGUGUGCGUGCGUGUGUGU